rnacentral:rRNA from 1 species
GGUUGAUCCUGCCGGACCUGACUGCUAUUCGGAUUGAUAUAAGCCAUGCGAGUCAUUGUAGCAAAUACAAGGCAGACGGCUCAGUAACGCGUAGUCAAUCUACCCUAUGGACGGGAAUAAUCUCGGGAAACUGAGAAUAAUGCCCGAUAGAACAUUAUGCCUGGAAUGGUUUAUGUUUCAAACGAUUUAUC